UGACCUUACCCACAGAAGAAGCCCCGGCUAACUCCCUGCCCGCAGCCGCGGUAAUACGGGGGGGGUUAGCGUUGUUCGGAAUCACUGGGCGUAAAGCGCGCGUAGGCGGAUCAGAAAGUUGAGGGUGAAAUCCCGGGGCUCACCCCCGGAACUGCCUCCAAAACUCCUGGCCUUGAGUUCGAGAGAGGUGCGUGGAAUUCCGAGUGUCGAGGUGAAAUUCGUAGAUAUCCGGAGGAACACCUGUGGCGAAGGCGGUUGGCUGGUUCGAUCCUGUCGCUGAGGUGUGAAAGUGUCAGGAGCAAACAGGAUUAGAUACCCUGGUAGUUCACGCCGUAACCGAUGUAUAACAGUCGUCGGGUUGUAUGCACUUUGGUGUCUCACCUCGCGGAUUAAGCAUUCCGCCCUGGGGAGUACGGUCGCAAGAUUAAAAGUCAAAUGAAUUGUCGGGGGCCCGCACAAUCGGUGGAGCAUGUGGUUUAAUUCGUAGCAACGCGCAGAACCUUACCAGCCCUUGACUUCCUGUGAUACAUCCAGAGAUGGAUGGUUCCCUUUGGGGGGGCAGUUACAGGUGCUGCAUGGCAGUCGUCAGCUUGUGUCGUGAGAUGUUCGGUAAUGUCCGGCGGUGAGUGCAACCCACAUCCUUAGUUGCCAGCAUUCAGUUGGGCACUCUAGGGAAACUGCCCGUGAUAAGCGGGAGGAAGGUGUGGAUGACGUCAAGUCCUCAUGGCCCUUACGGGUUGGGCUACACACGUGCUACAAUGGUCAGUGACAAUGGGUUAUCCCCAAAAACUGUCUCAGUUCGG
rnacentral:rRNA from 1 species